AUAUAGCAAAGAAGGUUAAUACUUUUUAUUAACAAUAUCCAUCAAAAUUAAGAUGAAGAACCAUGAAAAUCUUUCUUAUAAAGCAAAUCAAGUUUAAUAAAGAUUUCAUUUUAUCUCUUAUCCUUAUUUGUGAAUUUUGUGUAUUUGUAGCAUCAAAAAGAUUAAAAAUUGAAAAAUAGUAGAUUUAAUUCAAGAUCUAUGUUUUAUUAAGUUA
rnacentral:lncRNA from 1 species